UGAAAUAAUCUAUCUAAUCUUCCUUUUUGCAGCUUCGUAUUCGUCUCCUCCUUCAAAACCCUAAAUAUAUUUUGAAGCUCAUUUUGAUUGAAGAUCAUUCUCCCCAAAACCACCAUUCAUCAACAAUCGGUAAAGUCUCUGACUCUGCCAAACGAGUUUCUAUGAGGAAGCAAGCCAAUUUAUUUUAGGGUUUUGAUGAUUUGGUUGAGUCCGUUUCAAUCUUGAAAAGUUCACUAAUAUCGUCUUCUCCUUUCUCAGCUCCUCUCGCCCACAAUUUCUAUUAUCGCGCGUUUGACCGCAUGUCGGUAUGUGAUUUCUCACAUUCUCCCUCUUUUGUUCGGCUAAUUCAUGCAUAUUAUGCUCGAUUGUUCGAUUAUGUCCUCUCGCUUGAGUUUAGUUUCUUAUGUCCGAUUAAGAGCAAAAUGACCAUUGUCUAUUAUGCAUAAUCUCACUACCACUAAUGCAUAUUUGAGUCUUAUCCUAUCUAUUUGCAUCUAUUUUUAGUUCUCUAUUACUGGGUAAGCAGCUGUCUGAAAGAGUUUCCCGACAUGGUGAGUUAUAACAUUCACUCUAUAAAAAUGGGGUGCAUAUGCAUUAUUGUGUUAGUUCCAUUGCAAAAUUAUCUUUAUUAUUCUUCAAUUGGCAGGUAUUGCAUGUCAUUACUUGGCUUAUUUGUGUUACAUUGGCAGAGUGUAGAUGGUCUACUUUCGAUCAGAACUUUGAGUAAGUUCCUAAAAUGACAUCUUGUUUUUACUUUGUUUUGUAUUCUCUGUUUUAAUCAUAUGAAUUAUUAUUUAGAUGGCAGACUUCAUGAGUAUUUCAUAAAUAGAUCUUGGUUUGUUUCUCAACUUUAUAUUGGAACUCUUGUGCUAAAGGUUAUUGGAUUGAUGAGAGCCUAUUAAGAUUAGGGGUUGCAUUCUAAUGAUAUUUUAAUCUAAUAUUAGUGUAUUGCUAGAAGGUUUUUCAAAUAUCAAGCUAUUUGAUUUUUUGGUGAUUGUGAUGGAACAUAAAUAUGACGGAAACUCAUAUACACCUUCAAUCAAUCCUUGAGUUCAAGCAUGAAAUGCAAAACUUAUUUUUUUCAUUCAUUUUAUGCCUCACUUUGAAUGCUUUAUCUAUCAUGUUUGGUUUCUUUUUAGUGGAAUGAAGUCUUUCAAUCCAUUUUGAAAAGCAUGAAUUCAUUUCUCCAAAGCCAACUCCAAAUCAAUGUAUGUUUGCUUCUAUGAGUUAUUAUUGGUCUUUCUUAUGGCUUGCUUGGCAACAUGGUAUGAGAUUCUUGAUGAUAAUCUUAGAAUUCAUUUCCUCAUUCUAGAUCAUUGUUAAGGUUUAUUUCGAUUUAAGAGUUAUUAAUUCAGUUCUACAUAUAUGUUUUGUUGUGUGCAGGUUUGGCUUGUUUAAUGUUCUUGCAGGAGAAGCAGCAAUCAUAAGAAUGCACAACUCUACCAAUCCACAUCUUCAUAACACAAAUGCUUAUUAAUCAUCUCUUGAAGCACUCUCUGGAGUUUGUCCCAAAAGAGGCUAGCGCCUUGAUAUAGCUUAUGUAUUUGAAUUUAGAUAGGCUAUCAAUGACUUGAAAUCAUGACUUUAUUUGGUGUUUGCAGUUAGAUUGCUAUGAUUUCAAAGACUUAACAUCGAUGGUGUACAAAAUUGAACUAUUUAUCAAUAGAAUUUACACAUAUGCAUUAUUUUAUAUAUAAUUGUUUAUCAUCC
rnacentral:lncRNA from 1 species